rnacentral:rRNA from 1 species
UCAGCUCGUGUCGUGAGAUGUGGUUAAGUCCGCAACGAGCGCAACCCUCGACCUUAGUUGCCAGCAUUCAGUUGGGCACUCUAAGGUGACUGCCGGCUAAAAGUCGGAGGAAGGUGGGGAUGACGUCAAAUCAUCAUGCCCCUUAUGACCUGGGCUACACACGUGCUACAAUGGGCGGUACAAAGGGUCGCGAACCCGCGAGGGGGAGCCAAUCCCAAAAAGCCGCUCUCAGUUCGGAUUGCAGGCUGCAACUCGCCUGCAUGAAGCCGGAAUCGCUAGUAAUCGCGGAUCAGCAUGCCGCGGUGAAUACGUUCCCGGGCCUU